rnacentral:snoRNA from 1 species
GGUCAGUGAUGAAUAGUAAAAGGUCUGAUGGGCUCAGUGGUUUUGCCUCCUUUACCGGUUCAACUCCCAGCAGUUUCUCUUCCAUCAAGCUCUAGAUGUGCUGUGACUGGGAGGUCAUUUGCUGACAAGUGGUGAUAUGUUCAGCUUGUGCUACUCGAGAGUAUUGGGUAGACACUGCUGAAAUUGCUAUCCAACAUAACAGAUAAAGGAGUUUGAGGUACUGGACUCCCAUCUGGGUAUAUGAUCUCAAAAUUUUAGCUGAGACC